rnacentral:rRNA from 1 species
UAACAAAAGCAGUUUACAACCCAUAGGGCAGUCAUCCUGCACGCGGCAUGGCUGGUUCAGAGUUGCCUCCAUUGACCAAUAUUCCUUACUGCUGCCUCCCGUAGGAGUCUGGUCCGUGUCUCAGUACCAGUGUGGGGGAUUCUCCUCUCAGAGCCCCUACACAUCGUCGCCUUGGUGAGCCGUUACCUCACCAACUAGCUAAUGUCACGCGAGCCCAUCCAUAUCCUAUAAAUAUUUAACUACCUCCCGAUGCCGGAAAGCAGUGUCAUGCGGUGUUAAUCCGGAUUUCUCCGGGCUAUCCCCCUGAUAUGGGCAGGUUGCUCACGCGUUACGCACCCGUGCGCCACUCUCACCAUCGG